AACAAUAAUUGAAAUAUAUCAGAUUUUUAUAGCAUUCAAACUACUCUAUUGCACAGUUACUCGAAAUAUUCGAAUUUUUACAUAGUGUUCAGUAAAUCACUGUUAAUUCGGUCAUUAGAUAUAAAUACAGGGCGACUACUUCAGAUGAUUUGUUACAGUAGCAAUAUCAAUAGCUUUAGGUACUAUUUGAAGCAUUAAAUGCAAAACGUUACAUUGUUUAAACAAAUGUGUACUUUAUUGUAUUAAUUUAUUAUUUUAUUUUUAUUUAUAGUUUUAUAUAGAUAGUAAUAGGUAAUAAUAAUUGUAUAUUAUGUAGGUAUUUCUUUAAUGCUGCAUUCAUGUAUAAUUUUGAAAGUUUGUUUGUCCCGUUUGUUAUUAAUAAAUAAAUAUCAAUAAAUUAAUA
rnacentral:lncRNA from 1 species